AUUGAACGCUGGCGGCAUGCCUUACACAUGCAAGUCGAACGGCAGCACGGGGCAACCUGGUGGCGAGUGGCGAACGGGUGAGUAAUGCAUCGGAACGUACCUUUCAGUGGGGGAUAACGUAGCGAAAGUUACGCUAAUACCGCAUAUUCUGUGAGCAGGAAAGCAGGGGAUCGCAAGACCUUGCGCUGAUUGAGCGGCCGAUGUCAGAUUAGCUAGUUGGUGAGGUAAAGGCUCACCAAGGCGACGAUCUGUAGCGGGUCUGAGAGGAUGAUCGGCCACACUGGAACGGAGGCACGGUCCAGACUCCUACGGGAGGCAGCAGUGGGGAAUUUUGGACAAUGGGGGCAACCCUGAUCCAGCCAUGCCGCGUGAGUGAAGAAGGCCUUCGGGUUGUAAAGCUCUUUCGGCCGGGAAGAAAUCGCACGGGCUAAUACCCUGUGUGGAUGACGGUACCGGAAUAAGAAGCACCGGCUAACUACGUGCCAGCCGCCGCGGUAAUAC
rnacentral:rRNA from 1 species